GGCGCGAGCGAUGCCGCUGCCGCUGUUGUUGUGGAGCCGAACCCGCCGCCGCUCACGCCGCCAUGUUGCCGCCCCCUGCCUGCGGUAGCCGCUAGGGCGCCUGCGCCGAGCCCGUCGGGGGAGUGGCCGGGCCGGGCCCCCCCAGCCGGCCGGGGCACAGCUGGAGCGUUGUAAAGAAGUAGCUGUCUUCUCUAAUCAACAGUGUUUGUUUCUGACAAGCAAACUUUCAUUGAGGAUUACCUUUCUGGAUAUUUUAUUGAUAAUGGCUUAAUGAUUUACGUCUAUGACUGUAAAAGAAGGGAUGUGAUACCUGGGAAAAGGAUGCAUUUCUGGAUGUUUACAGUUUCACCAAGAAAAUUACAACUUUUAAAGAAAAAAUGCCAGUAUUGUUUGCUUUUAUUGCUGCAACAUGACCCUGUUGACUCUUCCUCAGCUUGUGAUCCUCUGUUGCCCCUGAAUCAUGAUCUGCAAAAGUACAAACAAGCUGGAUGCGCCACAUCCUGUAUUUGUGCAAUUUAGUAUGUCUACUAAAAGUAAUGCCCUACACUUGUGACUGUUCAGUAACAUCCUGUUUUUCUCAGACCAUUCCUACAGUUUGUCAGGAUCAUUUUGUAUUCUAAUCUUGUCCUCCAAUGUACACAGUUGCUUCCAGCCUAGUAUUGUUUGCAGAUUUAAUAAGCACACACUGCAUUCCAUCAUCUAGAUCAUUAAUGACAUUAUUAUAUAGUAUCAAACCUUGGUCACCCCUGCAGAAGCACACAUGGCACUGUUUUCCAUGUGGACAGUGAGACACUGAUAUCUAUUCUUCGUUGUAGUGAACAGUAUUUACAGGCUUAUUACAACCUUAUAAUAAAAAAUUACAUACAGAUCGUGAUUCCAAGUCUUGUUUUCAAAAUACAUUCUAAGACAUUCCUAGAAUCUGAGCUGACAAUGAGGUGCAUGACAUAGAUUUAGGCUGUCAGGGUCCUUGGAAGUUGACCUGAUCUAAAUCUCCCUUCUCUGACCUCUCCAGUCCUCAACACUGUGAGUAACGUAGGUUGCUGAAGAACUUUUAUCCAGUCAAGUUUUGUAUCUCUUCAGAGUUGAAUUUUCUCUGGGAAUCUUCUUCGACUGUUAGGCCAUACUCAUGGUUACUUUUUUCUCCUUGUACUUAUCAGGAAUUUGCUCUCCCACAAUUUUUGUUCAUUGCAUCUCCUAUUUUCUUUGUGUAAAUCCAAGCAGCCUGGCCCCAUCUACUCUGUUUCCACCUACUGUGUAGUUGAAGACAGCAAUUAGCUGUCACCCAGCCUUCUUUUAUUACAA